UUUGCGGAUGGGCGGGAUGGGGCUCCCGGGGGGACGGGCUGGGGGGUUCCUCGUUCCUCCGGCUUGAGCACAGGCCCAACUGCCACCCAAGCAGCCCCCCAGGGAAAUCCUUGAUGCAGAGAAGUGUCGAGAAGCCGGGUGGUGCUGGUCUCGGAGCCGGGGUGGGCUAGUGCGGCAGCCAAGGGGCCUGCGGGUUCCAGACCGCACCCCAUCCGGGGAGCUGACCCUGGAAAGGGCAGGGCAGCCUGGCCUGCUGGUUGUAGAGGAGCCAGCAGCAUCCUGGUCACGGGGGCAGAACAAAGAUGCCCUUUAGGUCUGAGCUCCGGGCCCUGGCUUCCAUGGGGAGGGGGUGGUGUGACAGUGGCUCCAGAGGCCAGAGAGAGGGAACAGGGCUGGAACCUUUCCUCUCAAAGAAAAUGAAGCCUUUCCCUGGAGCUGUGAUGGAGGCGUGGAGUCUGAGACUGGGGAGCACGCGCUCGCUCGGAGGGUCUCCAUGGAGUAAGGCAGGUGCAUCACCUCCCAGGACUGGCCGCCUGUUUGCUGCAACGCAGCCAGAAAAUAUUCCUGGAUUUGGUGUGAGAUUGGCAUGCACGUGUGCCAAUUUGUAAAUACUUCUGCAAAAUGCCCUUCGCCCGAGAGGCACUUGGCGUUGCUCCUGCCUGGUGUGUGGUCGGCGGGCCUGGGGAAAGGCUGAAGGUGAGCGGAGCCAGGAAGCCACCUGGGACGAGGCAGCCGGAGGAGGCUCUGCGCAGGAAGGGCGGUGGCCCACAGGCCUUUCCUGGAGGCUACGCGGGGCACCCGCUCCCCAUCUGCUCGUGACUCCCCGAGUCACGCUUUGCCAAAUUUCUGGGUGGGGCCUCGUGCUCUGGCACUUCCCUCUCCAAACCUUGCACCCAGGCCUGCUCCCACGGCUGGCACUGCUGCAGGUGGGGCCCCUGUGCUUGAGAUGGAGGCGCCUGUGACAGAUGCUCACCCAAUGCUCAUGUUGUCCCAGGCAGCCUGGCAGCCAGGCUGGGCACUGGGCCCUAACCAUCCAACAAGUCAGAGCUGUUCAAAACGGGGCAGAGACCACGGGGCACAACCACCAUCCAGGCAGGGGGCAGGAUGGGGAGAAACCUGCUGUUGGUGAUGUGUUUUGAGAAAACUGGAGAAAUUUGAAUGUUGGCUAUUAUGAAAGGUGAACAUUUAUUGACAUGGAAAAGCGGAUUAUUAACUGAAAAAGCAUUUAAAAAAGGAUGUGUGCACUGAACUCAUUUUGGAGAAAAUACCGAUGGGCAUUAAUAGUGAUAUGGACUGGGUGCUGGGACAUUUUUUUCCCCUUAUUUUUGUGGAUCUGUGUUUUCUCACACUUAAAAAAAAUUUCUUUGUCAACGUUUUCCAGCAUCUACAAUGCACAUACACCCCUUGUAUUAAAAGCGUCUUUUUAAUUAAAGUAUGUUUAGUAAAAAUCGCUACCCUGCAAGAUAGCAACCCUGGGGCUGCCUGAGUCAUGAACGGAGCCAAGGUCAAAGAGGAUGGAAGAACCAGCCUCUCUGAGCCUUUGCUCCCAGCCUCGGCUUAGAACCUGAACCCCAUCCGAGUUUGGUCCAGGAUCCAGGAAGUUCUGAUAACUGCAGAGUCAAAAACAGAGUUGACUCUGAGACGAUGAGUGAUUAAUAUAUAUAUUAAAAAAAAAAAGAAUCCCAGCCCGGGGGUUCUCUCCCGAUCCAGCCCAGGCAUGGUCCAAACCUCUCCGUGUAUGAAAAAGUCUAACUCCAUUUUAAUAGUGGGUUGGGUGAAAAAAAAAA